ensembl:miRNA
CCCACAUAGUGGUCAUCAAAGUGGUUGCCCUCUCUUGAAUCAGAACUAGAAAGUGCUUCCACUUUGUGCCUCCCUGUGUGGG